AGUGAACGCUGGCGGUAGGCCUAACACAUGCAAGUCGAACGGCAGCACAGUAAGAGCUUGCUCUUACGGGUGGCGAGUGGCGGACGGGUGAGGAAUACAUCGGAAUCUACUUUUUCGUGGGGGAUAACGUAGGGAAACUUACGCUAAUACCGCAUACGACCUACGGGUGAAAGCAGGGGAUCUUCGGACCUUGCGCGAUUGAAUGAGCCGAUGUCGGAUUAGCUAGUUGGCGGGGUAAAGGCCCACCAAGGCGACGAUCCGUAGCUGGUCUGAGAGGAUGAUCAGCCACACUGGAACUGAGCCACGGUCCAGACUCCUACGGGAGGCAGCAGUGGGGAAUAUUGGACAAUGGGCGCAAGCCUGAUCCAGCCAUACCGCGUGGGUGAAGAAGGCCUUCGGGUUGUAAAGCCCUUUUGUUGGGAAGGAAAAGCAGCAGGUUAAUACCCCGCUGUUCUGACGGUACCCAAAGAAUAAGCACCGGCUAACUUCGUG
rnacentral:rRNA from 1 species